rnacentral:antisense_RNA from 1 species
UUCAAUGGGCGGGCCUUGGUGGGGGCAUCUUCGGAUGCGUCGGUUCCUUCGGUUGCCGGUUCGCCAACCCCGCCAUGCGCCCGCUCACCCCG